GUUGAACGCUGGCGGCAUGCUUUACACAUGCAAGUCGAACGGCAGCGCGGGCUUCGGCCUGGCGGCGAGUGGCGAACGGGUGAGUAAUGCAUCGGAACGUGCCCAGUAGUGGGGGAUAGCCCGGCGAAAGCCGGAUUAAUACCGCAUACGACCUGAGGGUGAAGGCGGGGGACCGAAAGGCCUCGCGCUAUUGGAGCGGCCGAUGUCGGAUUAGCUAGUUGGUGGGGUAAAGGCUUACCAAGGCGACGAUCCGUAGCUGGUCUGAGAGGACGACCAGCCACACUGGGACUGAGACACGGCCCAGACUCCUACGGGAGGCAGCAGUGGGGAAUUUUGGACAAUGGGGGCAACCCUGAUCCAGCCAUGCCGCGUGCGGGAAGAAGGCCUUCGGGUUGUAAACCGCUUUUGUUCGGGAAGAAAUCCUCUGGGCUAAUACCCCGGGGGGAUGACGGUACCGGAAGAAUAAGCACCGGCUAACUACGUG
rnacentral:rRNA from 1 species